rnacentral:lncRNA from 1 species
CCCGUACAGACACCAAACUAGAAUCUUCCAACACAUACUAAAGUAAAAGAGAACAGGGAUAUCUAUCCAUGUAUAAAUUCUAUAACACCUGCUUAAAAUCUCCUGUAGGUGUUCUAUUUAGUUAGAAUAAAAUGCAUCCUCCUCAUCAUGCCCCAUCACUCCAGCCUCUCCAGCCUCAUCUCUUCCUACUCUUCCUUCUUCCUCACCCUGGCCAACUCUGCUCUAGCCACAUUGAUCAUCUUGCUGUUUCUUGAACAGAUCAAGCUUGUAUCCACUGUGUGGCAUUUGCACUUGCUAUUCCAGCUGAGUAUCCUCUCAGAUCCCAGAUGUUUGCAAAGCUGACUCUUUCGUAUCAUUUGGAGCUCAUAUCAGAUCGACCUCUUAAAUGGGGAACCUCCCUGGAAAGAUAUUGCUUAUUUAUUUGUACAUUUAUUGUUUAUUAUCCAUCUGCCCCCUCUAAAAUCUAAGCUCCACGAGAACAGGAACUGUACUUGUACUGUUCACUGCUAAAUCCCCAUUUUCUAGGAUAGUGCCCUGGCACAUAGAAGCAAUGAACACAUAUUUGUUUUGUGAAUAAGUACAUGAGCAUACUAUCAAUAUUUUAGUUGCAACCUGUAGUCUAAGUGUUGAAAGUUGAUGGACAAAGUAGGGGCAUGACAUUUUCAAAACUAAGUAGGGAUGAGAUAAAAUGGGCCUGUAAGAAGAAUGCAGAGAAACAGAAGAAAUGCACUCUUUGCAAAGACAGGAUGAAGAAAUCUUCAAUCAGCCAGUGCACUGUGAGGAGCUGCUGGACUGGAAAGGCUUAUCCCUGGGGACCUCAGUAGAAUUUGUACUCCUGUGAUUUGCCAUAGAGGACCCUGAAUUGCAGAGCUGCUAGUCCAAAGGGAAAGGAAAAACAUGUAGAACUGGUCUGAACCCUUCUCACAACUUGGAGCCAAGCCCAGCCAAUUCCCAGCUGAGUCAGCAAAGCCACAGCUGACCUGCAAACCUGUGAACAAGAAAAUAAAUGUUUGUCAUAAGCCACUGAGAUUUUGAUAUUGUUUGUUUCACAGUAAAAACUGAGUGAUACAGAACUCUCAUUUUCUUAUAACCCUUCACAUUCCUUUUCUUUCCCUUUUUAGGCAGGAGCUAUUACUUUCUUCACCAAAUAACAGUUUCAUCUCUUUGUAAAAGCUGAGUAUAUGUGUAAGAGCUGUGUAUAUGAGACCACCAUCAAUAUACAACAAAACCAGUCUGAGAUGUGGACCCUGACCUGUCCACUAAGCAGUGAUAUACACUAGUGAGUAAUAACACUCACUAGCUAGUAAUAGACACAUUUCCUAAUAUGAAUAAUUCAAAUCAGAAAUUCAAAUAUUAUUACACACUACAAACUUUCUGGUCAGGCAGUCAACUUAUUUUAUCAAUCAGAGUUAAAUCAGGCAAAGAAUAAUCAUUAUGAAACUAU